UUGGGGGGUACUGUGGCGUUCACGUUGAGUCCUCCUACGACUCGGCGGGUAAACGGGUUCGGGGGGAGUGCCAUCCCCCCGCUCCUGU
rnacentral:tRNA from 1 species